GCCCUUUUAGCUCAGUGGUAGUAGCGCUUGCCUAGUAAGCAAGAGGUCCUCUGUUCGAUCCAGGGAAAGGGCA